rnacentral:lncRNA from 1 species
UUUUAAGUGUUCUGCUCUAUCUCUGAUUGGCCUUCUAAGGGUUUUCUUUUUCAGCAGGUAGGUCCCUUUUACAAAGCCCAUUAAAUCUUCCUAAUUUCAAGCAGUGUUUAAGCUGUCUUCUAAGAAAGGUGCAAAGGAAGCAGAGUCUUAAGAAUUGUGAGGUUUUUUCUGCUAACUUAAAGUGUUGACCUUCCGCUAUUGGUAGGAUGCCCCCCCAUUUUUUCCUGUGUCCAUUCUGAAUUAAUUAUUCAGUACUGUCGGGUUCAUUACUACAGUUAUUAUUUGUCUUUCAGAUAGUCAGUCUUGGAAAAGGCAAUCUGAGACCAUUACCCCGCUCUGCCGUAUUACAAGGACUGGAGUUCCUGCUGGGACAGCCUCAGUCCCAGCCACGAUGAACAUAGAGAACACAGUUUGGAUAUCAUAGAUGCUCUGCAUUGAGUGGAUAACUGGGUAAUGUGAUCAAGAAGGUAUUCUGUGGCUAUAUAUGCAAACUAGACUGCUAGCCAAGAGUACUCCUCAGCUUUUGAAAGCUAGGUAUCCACAGAUAAUGUUUCAGAAGUGCCAAAG